UCAGUAACACGUGGACAACUGCCUUAGGUUGGGUAUAAACCCGGGAAACUGGGUAUAAUACCCGAUAGGUCUCGAUUGCUGGAAUGCAUCGAGAUUUAAAGCUCCGGCGCCUAAGGAUGGGUCUGCGGCCUAUCAGGUAGUAGUGGGUGUAGCGUACCUACUAGCCUACGACGGGUACGGGUUGUGAGAGCAAGAGCCCGGAGAUGGAUUCUGAGACACGAAUCCAGGCCCUACGGGGUGCAGCAGGCGCGAAAACUUUACAAUGCUGGCAACAGCGAUAAGGGAACCUCGAGUGCCAGGUUACAAAUCUGGCUGUCGAGAUGCCUAAAAAGCAUUUCAUAGCAAGGGCCGGGCAAGACCGGUGCCAGCCGCCGCGGUAACACCGGCGGCUCGAGUGGUAACCGUUAUUAUUGGGUCUAAAGGGUCUGUAGCCGGCCGGAUAAGUCUCUUGAGAAAUCUGGCAGCUUAACUGUCAGGCUUUC
rnacentral:rRNA from 1 species